GAUGAACGCUGGCGGCGUGCUUAACACGUGCAAGUCGAACGGAAAGGCCCAAGCUUGCUUGGGUACUCGAGUGGCGAACGGGUGAGUAACACGUGGGUGAUCUGCCCUGCACUUCGGGAUAAGCCUGGGAAACUGGGUCUAAUACCGGAUAGGACGAUGGUUUGGAUGCCAUUGUGGAAAGUUUUUUCGGUGUGGGAUGAGCUCGCGGCCUAUCAGCUUGUUGGUGGGGUAAUGGCCUACCAAGGCGUCGACGGGUAGCCGGCCUGAGAGGGUGUACGGCCACAUUGGGACUGAGAUACGGCCCAGACUCCUACGGGAGGCAGCAGUGGGGAAUAUUGCACAAUGGGCGCAAGCCUGAUGCAGCGACGCCGCGUGGGGGAUGACGGCCUUCGGGUUGUAAACUCCUUUCGCUAGGGACGAAGCGUUUUUGUGACGGUACCUGGAGAGGAAGCACCGGCUAACUACGUG
rnacentral:rRNA from 1 species